rnacentral:rRNA from 1 species
AGUGAACGCUGGCGGUAGGCCUAACACAUGCAAGUCGAACGGCAGCACAGUAAGAGCUUGCUCUUACGGGUGGCGAGUGGCGGACGGGUGAGGAAUACAUCGGAAUCUACUUUUUCGUGGGGGAUAACGUAGGGAAACUUACGCUAAUACCGCAUACGACCUACGGGUGAAAGCAGGGGAUCUUCGGACCUUGCGCGAUUGAAUGAGCCGAUGUCGGAUUAGCUAGUUGGCGGGGUAAAGGCCCACCAAGGCGACGAUCCGUAGCUGGUCUGAGAGGAUGAUCAGCCACACUAGAACUGAGACACGGUCCAGACUCCUACGGGGGGCAGCAGUGGGGAAUAUUGGACGAUGGGCGCAAGCCUGAUCCAGCCAUACCGCGUGGGUGAAGAAGGCCUUCGGGUUGUAAAGCCCUUUUGUUGGGAAAGAAAAGCAGCAGGUUAAUACCCCGCUGUUCUGACGGUACCCAAAUAAUAAGCACCGGCUAACUUCGUG